rnacentral:sRNA from 1 species
CAUCGAACUACCUUUCUCCAAUUGCUAACUCGAGCAUUGGCUGGAACGGAGAAGAGAGUGACCGACCUUGGGGUGCAGACUUAACGGAGGUGGUUAGGUCACAAUGGAAAUGGGAACGACGAUGAGGAGAUGCAAGCUUCGACGGAAGACGCUCGGCGGCUCUCGUUGUUGCUGCUGGUAGUCGAGACCCUCCACUCGCCGGAAUAGAAGAUGGUGGAGGCUUCGUCGGCGAUGUUGAGUAGUUGUCGUUGUUGGUUGUGGAAGCUCGACGGAAUUGCGUCGGCGUUUGAGCACAGGGAGGGAGACCGCAACAGG